rnacentral:rRNA from 1 species
GACGAACGCUGGCGGCGUGCUUAACACAUGCAAGUCGAACGGAAAGGCCCUGCUUUUGUGGGGUGCUCGAGUGGCGAACGGGUGAGUAACACGUGAGUAACCUGCCCUUGACUUUGGGAUAACUUCAGGAAACUGGGGCUAAUACCGGAUAGGAGCUCCUGCUGCAUGGUGGGGGUUGGAAAGUUUCGGCGGUUGGGGAUGGACUCGCGGCUUAUCAGCUUGUUGGUGGGGUAGUGGCUUACCAAGGCUUUGACGGGUAGCCGGCCUGAGAGGGUGACCGGCCACAUUGGGACUGAGGUACGGCCCAGACUCCUACGGGAGGCAGCAGUGGGGAAUAUUGCACAAUGGGCGGAAGCCUGAUGCAGCAACGCCGCGUGCGGGAUGACGGCCUUCGGGUUGUAAACCGCUUUCGCCUGUGACGAAGCGUGAGUGACGGUAAUGGGUAAAGAAGCACCGGCUAACUACGUGCCAGCAGCCGCGGUGAUACGUAGGGUGCGAGCGUUGUCCGGAUUUAUUGGGCGUAAAGGGCUCGUAGGUGGUUGAUCGCGUCGGAAGUGUAAUCUUGGGGCUUAACCCUGAGCGUGCUUUCGAUACGGGUUGACUUGAGGAAGGUAGGGGAGAAUGGAAUUCCUGGUGGAGCGGUGGAAUGCGCAGAUAUCAGGAGGAACACCAGUGGCGAAGGCGGUUCUCUGGGCCUUUCCUGACGCUGAGGAGCGAAAGCGUGGGGAGCGAACAGGCUUAGAUACCCUGGUAGUCCACGCUGUAAACGGUGGGUACUAGGUGUGGGGUCCAUUCCACGGGUUCCGUGCCGUAGCUAACGCUUUAAGUACCCCGCCUGGGGAGUACGGCCGCAAGGCUAAAACUCAAAGGAAUUGACGGGGCCCCGCACAAGCGGCGGAGCAUGCGGAUUAAUUCGAUGCAACGCGUAGAACCUUACCUGGGUUUGACAUGGAUCGGGAGUGCUCAGAGAUGGGUGUGCCUCUUUUGGGGUCGGUUCACAGGUGGUGCAUGGCUGUCGUCAGCUCGUGUCGUGAGAUGUUGGGUUAAGUCCCGCAACGAGCGCAACCCUUGUUCACUGUUGCCAGCACGUUAUGGUGGGGACUCAGUGGAGACCGCCGGGGUCAACUCGGAGGAAGGUGGGGAUGACGUCAAGUCAUCAUGCCCCUUAUGUCCAGGGCUUCACGCAUGCUACAAUGGCUGGUACAGAGAGUGGCGAGUCUGUGAGGGUGAGCGAAUCUCGGAAAGCCGGUCUCAGUUCGGAUUGGGGUCUGCAACUCGACCUCAUGAAGUCGGAGUCGCUAGUAAUCGCAGAUCAGCAACGCUGCGGUGAAUACGUUCCCGGG